CCUACGGGUGGCAGCAGUGGGGAAUAUUGGUCAAUGGGCGAAAGCCUGAUCCAGCCAUGCCGCGUGUGUGAAGAAGGCCUUCGGGUUGUAAAGCACUUUCAGUGGGGAAGAAAGCCUUGGGGCUAAUACCCUCGAGGAAGGACAUCACCCACAGAAGAAGCACCGGCUAACUCCGUGCCAGCAGCCGCGGUAAUACGGAGGGUGCGAGCGUUAAUCGGAAUUACUGGGCGUAAAGCGCGCGUAGGCGGUCUGAUAAGCCGGUUGUGAAAGCCCCGGGCUCAACCUGGGAACGGCAUCCGGAACUGUCAGGCUAGAGUGCAGGAGAGGAAGGUAGAAUUCCCGGUGUAGCGGUGAAAUGCGUAGAGAUCGGGAGGAAUACCAGUGGCGAAGGCGGCCUUCUGGACUGACACUGACGCUGAGGUGCGAAAGCGUGGGUAGCAAACAGGAUUAGAUACCCGGGUAGUC
rnacentral:rRNA from 1 species